AAAUGGGGAGAUUUGGACACACACACCACACACACACACACGGAGAACACCAUGUGAAGAUGAAGGCAGAGGCAGAGAUGGGGAUAUUAAUGCUGAGAAAAAACUAACUUUAGUGCAACACACAGAAACAGCAUCAACUAUAAAGUUCUGGACAAAGAAAAAUGUAAUUUCUCCCACACCAAAGCCUUGGUUCCACUCAGGAUUGGGCAUCAUCAUAGACUACCUCCUUGGAAGAGGAGAAGAGCUACUUAGUAACUCUCUUGAGAAAAAUCUCAGAUGGUGAACUAUGAGAGGGCCAACCCACAUACACAGUAAAAAAUAAAAUUUAUUUAAGAUGCCAGCAAGAGGUAAAGCAAGAGGUCAAAUAAAAAGAAGGAAGUCCAGCCCAAGUGGAAUGAAAGCAAGAGGUUCAAAUGGCCAAAACAAUAGCCUCCAAAAAUGUGGUGACGAAUGACCAGAGAGAAGAAAAAGGAAUUGCUUUCUGCCUCCAAGCUGAACUUGGAACCUAGGUCUUUCUGAGCACGAUGUUGUCCUACGUCCCCAGAAGGGGCCAAGGAGGCAGCUAUGAAUGUCAGGUGUGAAUAAUUCAAAACCCCAAACCACCUGUGGCUUUGAGGCCUUUUUUUUUUUUUUUUUCAAUUACUCAGAGGGAAACACAGUCUCCUUGAUUUCCUCUGGGGACCUUUCAGGGAGCCAGCCCUUGUAAUAACUGCCUGUUAUGGUGAGAGGAAAACUGGCUUUAAAAACCUUUUAACCCAAAGGGAUUGAGCAGCUAAUGGACAUCAUCCCUUUGGCAAAAAGGGAUGAUGUAAAACUCCUGCCCCAUUUUUAAAACCAGGACUUGUUUAUAUAAUCUUUUCAUACAGUUAAAGCUUUUUUGGUUUUAAUAUAUUAUUUAGAGCCUGUUACAUUGCAGCAUAAUGCAAAAACAGUUAUCAAAAAAAAAAAAAAACAACAACAAAAACUUCUCUCUACAUUGCUCCAAUUCAAAUAUGCCUUUAACUUAUUUGACGGUUUUGACUGAUGGCCAAAAAAGAAAUUCCAGUCAUUUGCAAAUGUUAUUUUCAUUUUAACCACUAUACAGACUAAUUAUGAAUUUUUGCAUCAAAACUGAGCAAUUCUACCAUUUUAAUGUGGUAUAAAAAAAGUUUCUGAGGGAAUUAGAAAACUCACAGAAUGCUGACAUGCCCACAGUUGACAAUAACAACAAAAAAUUUCAGCAGUAAACAGUUCUUAGUAUAUCCUGCAAUUUCCAUUUAAAACAUUUAUAAGAGAAUAUUAACAAACAUGAAAAUGAUAUAUUUUUGCAUAGAAAAAUAAACUCACAAGGUUUUAGAACCAUAAAUAACCCACAAUUCUGGUUACCAUCUACCUUGAUUAAUGUCUUUAGCCAGUAUUUGAAACAUCACCAUUUAUCAUCUUAGCUUCUUUCUUUUCUUUUUAAUACAAAAUUAAUGCAAACUGCUUUUGUUUUAAUAAUAAUAAUACAGUCUAUGCUACAUAUGGCAUGAAAUAAUGAAACCCAGUAAAUUUAUCCAAUAGUGAAUACACAGAAGUGAAGAGUUUUGGCUCUGUUUGCAACUGUCCUACAGUAAUCCCAGGUGCAACCCAACUCAUUAUGACACAGUUUAGCUGAAAAAUGUAAUCUGUAUGGUUAUAAAUCAGUUUCAUUGUACUUACAAUAGAAAUAAAUUUUGGAGGCCAAACCAAGUUU